rnacentral:rRNA from 1 species
CCUACGGGAGGCUGCAGUGGGGAAUAUUGGACAAUGGGGGCAACCCUGAUCCAGCCAUGCCGCGUGUGUGAAGAAGGCCCUCGGGUUGUAAAGCACUUUCAGUGAGGAAGAACGCCUGGUGGUUAAUACCCAUCAGGAAAGACAUCACUCACAGAAGAAGCACCGGCUAACUCCGUGCCAGCAGCCGCGGUAAUACGGAGGGUGCGAGCGUUAAUCGGAAUUACUGGGCGUAAAGCGCGCGUAGGUGGCUUGAUAAGCCGGUUGUGAAAGCCCCGGGCUCAACCUGGGAACGGCAUCCGGAACUGUCAAGCUAGAGUGCAGGAGAGGAAGGUAGAAUUCCCGGUGUAGCGGUGAAAUGCGUAGAGAUCGGGAGGAAUACCAGUGGCGAAGGCGGCCUUCUGGACUGACACUGACACUGAGGUGCGAAAGCGUGGGUAGCAAACAGGAUUAGAUAGCCUUGUAGUC